UAUGGGGGGAGCAAGCGUUGUUCGGAUUUACUGGGCGUAAAGGGCGCGUAGGCGGCCACCGCAAGUCGAUUGUGAAAUCUCCGGGCUUAACCCGGAAAGGUCAACCGAUACUGCGGGGCUAGAGUGCAGAAGGGGCAACUGGAAUUCUCGGUGUAGCGGUGAAAUGCGUAGAUAUCGAGAGGAACACCUGCGGCGAAGGCGGGUUGCUGGGCUGACACUGACGCUGAUGCGCGAAAGCUAGGGGAGCGAACGGG
rnacentral:rRNA from 1 species